AGAGUUUGAUCAUGGCUCAGGACGAACGCUGGCGGCGUGCUUAACACAUGCAAGUCGAACGGAAAGCGCUCUUCGGAGUGACUCGAGUGGCGAACGGGUGAGUAACACGUGGGUGAUCUGCCCUGCACUUUGGGAUAAGCCUGGGAAACUGGGUCUAAUACCGGAUAGGACUACGGCCUGCAUGGGUUGUGGUGGAAAGCUUUUGCGGUGUGGGAUGGGCCCGCGGCCUAUCAGCUUGUUGGUGGGGUGAUGGCCUACCAAGGCGACGACGGGUAGCCGGCCUGAGAGGGUGUCCGGCCACACUGGGACUGAGAUACGGCCCAGACUCCUACGGGAGGCAGCAGUGGGGAAUAUUGCACAAUGGGCGCAAGCCUGAUGCAGCGACGCCGCGUGAGGGAUGACGGCCUUCGGGUUGUAAACCUCUUUCAGCACAGACGAAGCGCAAGUGACGGUAUGUGCAGAAGAAGCACCGGCCAACUACGUGCCAGCAGCCGCGGUAAUACGUAGGGUGCGAGCGUUGUCCGGAAUUACUGGGCGUAAAGAGCUCGUAGGUGGUUUGUCGCGUUGUUCGUGAAAACUCACAGCUUAACUGUGGGCGUGCGGGCGAUACGGGCAGACUGGAGUACUGCAGGGGAGACUGGAAUUCCUGGUGUAGCGGUGGAAUGCGCAGAUAUCAGGAGGAACACCGGUGGCGAAGGCGGGUCUCUGGGCAGUAACUGACGCUGAGGAGCGAAAGCGUGGGGAGCGAACAGGAUUAGAUACCCUAGUAGUCC
rnacentral:rRNA from 1 species